AGUGUGACCGGAAGUUGGUGACCGGUGAGGCGUGGUGUGGAUAACGUACGAGUGAGUCGUAACACUGGCUUGAGCUGAGUGGGUUCACUGAUCAGAAGUUAACCUAAGGUGACAGUGGACGUGGAUUUGAUAGGAGUGGCUCUGUCCCACAGCAGAUAUUGCAAUAGAGAAGUUUUGAAGACUACUUUUCCAGCCUCACAGUUUGCCUGAAGUGCUUCUGGGAGGUAAUUUAGGCAAAACAAACAAAAAAAAAAAUGGUUUGAAUUUCUGAUAGUAACGACGGUGUGGAGAACCCUUGAAAGAAAGCCACAGUCACAAGUCAGGUUCUGACCUCAACUGUGAUGGACAGUGACUGGCCCUGUGAAGACAUGGAGGAGGAAACAUAGUCAAUAAACUCUGGAACACUAGCAAGCCACUCUAGGACAAAGUAAAGGCCUUCAAAUUCUCUCCUGGAAAGAAACAAGAGCCUCUUAAUGGCAGUGAUCCUCAUGUUACAGCCUUUUAUACUGGUUAUAAUACGGUAUGUCUUCAGAUACAAGGUCAAGCACUUUGUCAUCUUAAGAGGAUCAUGCUCCACUGACUGAGCUAGCUGGGCACUUCCAUCAUCUUAAACUUACCCAUCAGUCUCAGACUAUUCAAUCCAGUCAAAACACUUGUAUGAAUGUUGGCUCCUUAACCCUUCAGGAAGGGAAAGUGGGAAGGAAGAGAGAGAAGCCGGAAAAAUGCGAUGAGCCCCCAUCAGAAGAACUUCCCUGAUGCCUCCACGCUGCAAAGAAGUCCAAUCCACCAGAGACACCAUGGGUUAAGUGCUUUGGUUGAAAGAUCCAGCUGCUUGCUGUACUCCGCCUUUCUUCAGGUGGCCGAAAUUCCAAAAAGGAAGACGAAAAUAUGAUUACUCUUCUUGAAAGCAUAAAGGCCUCUCCCUUUCACAGACACAGUAUUCUGGAUGUGCACCACCACGCAUACGACCAUACAAGUCCAUGGACGUGCGUGAUUCCCCAUAUCUCCGGGUUGUCUCCAUCAGUCGUGAAAUUGGAUGGGCUAUCAUAAAAGGCACAGGACAUAAACUACCUGAGGUAGGAAGGAAUUAAAGUGUCAUCUGAAUUCUGAAAAUCAUUUUCACUGGGUAGAAGGUAAGAGAUUCUUUACCUAAUUGAUUUUACUUAAUAGUUCACUUUUUCCCCACUAUGCUGUAUUAAAUUCAGCAGCUCAUAAAAUGUAAAUAAAGGAAGGAGCGCAUUGACAAUCGUCUCAAACAAAUGCUUCUUAAAAGUAACACCUUUUAUAAUCAAUGUUAUUAAUUUGCUGACUUUUUGGAUAGCUUUUACACAUUAUGAAUUCAUUUGGUAUUAAUGUAGGUGCCAGUUUUUCUGGAGGACAAUGAUAAACAGGCAAUAACAAAAUAGGGAGGUAUACUUUUGAAGAGACAAACAGAGUAUAGCUUUAAUAGAAACAGUGUGCCCAUUUAGUAGCCAACUGAAGUGGAGAUAUUAAAUGUUAAGAGGGGCAGAGGCCCUAUUUAGAAAUAACUAGGAAAGUCAGUAUCCAGUCUUUGAGCAUCUCUGCUCAUUCUCUCCAACCUAAGGCUUAUAUAAGAGCUGGAAGUUCAGAAGUAAAAUUACAUUACUCUUAAAUAUGUUCUUAGCAAUUCCUCUCCUUCGCUAGCAUUUUGCCUCCCAUCCUUCUCUGCACCGAUGCCUUAAAUGCCUUUGAACUCCUACCUCUCCCCUUUCCCUCAAAGCAUCUCAUCACAAAGCAACAGAUAAUUCAUUUAUUCAAAUGAUAAAUAAUAGCACAAGUGUAUGUAUAUGUAUUAUUACCCUCUUCUCAUAAGGUGUUCGCAUUUUAUACGCAUUAAUCCAUUGAGAUUGUUCCAAACCUAAAAUUACCAGGUAAGUCUUCUGACAAGGAGAACAUGCCUAAGAAAAUUCUAAGAUUUGCUUUUCAGAAAACAGCAGUUAGGCUCCUGCUCCAGUGAAAACAGUAUAUUCAUUGUGUAGAGUUAACCAGGAUCUGAUUCCCAUCCUCACUGCCACCCCAAAAAUAGCAAUUAAAGCUUUAGCAUUCCCCAUAAAUGAUAGAAAGACCAAGCUUCUCUUACCAGCCACUGCUCUUUCCAGUCAUUCCUCCCCAGCCCAAGUCAAAUGCUUGCUGCUUUCAGACCCCUGUUACUCAUACAACAGCCUUUACCCUCCCCCGCUUAACACUAUCAUCCACAUCAUUGAAAGCCAAUGAUCUUUGCCUUUAAUUUCUGGCAUUAUUGUCAGUGACUUCAAUGUCUACAUUAGUGGUCAAUACAUAACCCUGACCUUGCAGUCCUGUGAUCUCAUCUCCUAUUGCCUUUGUUCUCUAUACAAUCUUCAAUUCACAUGGUCUGUGUCCAGUUAUGGCUUUCAAGUUAACUCUGUCUCUAUAAUCUAGACCUAUACCUGUCUUACCACAAUUUCCAUUCUUCCCAGUAUUAUUUAUCAGAUAUUCUCAUUUUAUGCUAUGUUUUUACCUACUUUUCUUACUACCCCUACUUUCUUUGUGCUUAGCAGCCCUUACCUAUCUUUACUUCUUUUCCUAUAGAGCAAAAUUCCCACACCUCAUCCCUUUACUAGAGUUCCUCUACACAAUUUCUUGUCCCACUGGGCCUCUGCCACUCCAUCUCACAAAGGCCAAUGCUGUUCAAGUAUAGUUGCCUGAUUUCAUAUUUACAUCUGCAUUUCUGGGAGCUUCUGGAGAAUAUCUCACUGCCAGAUAGACUUGUGCCUCUAUCAAUCCAUGGUCACUGACCUCAACAAAAGAAACACUUCCCAGAAAUGUUUGUUCCCUAUUUGGAAUCGCUUUAAAGUUCCAAUCUUCAUCACCUUUCCAUCAGCGUCAAAUUUUGUUUGAUUCAUUACACUGUAAAAUAUAUCAGAGAAUAACAACUGUAAUUCCAGCACAUAAACAUAUAAACUCAACUUACCCCUUCCUGCUCUCUGCUGUUGUAAGAGAAGAGCUUACUGUCCAAAAGUUUCAUCUUAUCCGUAAGAUCCCAUGGGAUUCCCCCCCUCCUCCAAGUCCUCAUACACAUAUUCAGCUCCUUAGAGACCCCACUUUUCAACCACCCAUUUCCUGUCCUCUCUGCUGGCUACCUAUUACUCAAAUCUACUCUGUUCUUCCUCUAACCAAAAACAAAACAAUGUGUAUCCUGCAGUCUCCAUCUUUCUCCUCCUAUCAUAAUCAAAGUCUCUAAGGGAAUUGCCACAUUCACUCCUUGUAGUUUCUCAUUACUCCUGCUUCUCAAUUCUCUGUUUCUCCUUCCAAGCUUCUUAGUGAUACAACGGAAUCAGCUCACACUGAUUCAAGAGCGCCAAUUAUGUGUUUCUCUUCCCAACUGCACAGGGAUGUAACAUUGGUAGCUCACAUAUAAAUUAUGGUGGGAAUGUUUAUCUCCGAGAAACCGGUAAACGCUACAAACCCAUGAAUCAACCUUGUUUUUUUGUGUACCAGCACCUGCUGUCUGUAUUCUUCUAUUACCUUCCAAAUGCCAUGUCUUGGUUUCUCACAUGUUGGUGUAGGCACAGUAACUCUCCAUUUUUUUUCAUUCUCAGAGAGUCAGCAUCAUCCGUAUACUAGGAAUUCUCACAGUGUACCAACAGCCCCAAACUCACUCAUAAACCUAACCCAAAUUCACAAUGUUCCUCUCCAUUUAAAUGGUUCACACACCUGUCAACUUCGAUGUUUCCACAAUGGAACUCAUACUGUUUCUUUCACAAGAUUGGUCCCCUCUCUAGGCCAUAUUUCAAUAAGUGACUUGGUUGUUCAAGCAAGAGACCUAGGUUUUAUCCUUGAUUCUUUGAUCUUCCUCUACUUAUCAGCCUAAUCUACCUCCUAAGCAUUUCUCAAACCCACAGACUUCUUUUCGUCCUCGCUACAGUUGUCCUGUAGACAUGAGCUAUAAUCUAAGUUACUUCAAUGGGCUUUUGACUUUUUCUUUGCAUCCAGAGUUGUUCCAGCCCCACCUAUUACCUUCACUAGAAGACUAAUACUCUGGUUCCUAAUUACCUUCCCAGGUUCAUGUCUCUUCUGGUUUAGUGUUUGGCACAGUCAUUUCAAGCGCUUUUAGUCCCCAAAUGUUGGCACACUUUUGCCUCUUGCACCACUGCUCUGCCUGUUUUUUUUUUAAUUUUUUUUUCAACGUUUAUUUAUUUUUGGGACAGAGAGAGACAGAGCAUGAACGGGG